AUUGAACGCUGGCGGCAGGCCUAACACAUGCAAGUCGAACGGUAACAGGGAUCAGCUUGCUGAUUCGCUGACGAGUGGCGGACGGGUGAGUAAUGUCUGGGAAACUGCCUGAUGGAGGGGGAUAACUACUGGAAACGGUAGCUAAUACCGCAUAACGUCGCAAGACCAAAGAGGGGGACCUUCGGGCCUCUUGCCAUCUGAUGUGCCCAGAUGGGAUUAGCUAGUAGGUGGGGUAACGGCUCACCUAGGCGACGAUCCCUAGCUGGUCUGAGAGGAUGACCAGCCACACUGGAACUGAGACACGGUCCAGACUCCUACGGGAGGCAGCAGUGGGGAAUAUUGCACAAUGGGCGCAAGCCUGAUGCAGCCAUGCCGCGUGUAUGAAGAAGGCCUUCGGGUUGUAAAGUACUUUCAGCGGGGAGGAAGGGAGUAAAGUUAAUACCUUUGCUCAUUGACGUUACCCGCAGAAGAAGCACCGGCUAACUCCGUG
rnacentral:rRNA from 1 species